CCCCGUGAACCUUUACUAUAGCUUGACACUGAACAUUGAGCCUUGAUGUGUAGGAUAGGUGGGAGGCUUUGAAGCGUGGACGCCAGUCUGCGUGGAGCCGACCUUGAAAUACCACCCUUUAAUGUUUGAUGUUCUAACGUGGACCCGUAAUCCGGGUUGCGGACAGUGUCUGGUGGGUAGUUUGACUGGGGCGGUCUCCUCCUAAAGAGUAACGGAGGAGCACGAAGGUUGGCUAAUCCUGGUCGGACAUCAGGAGGUUAGUGCAAUGGCAUAAGCCAGCUUGACUGCGAGCGUGACGGCGCGAGCAGGUGCGAAAGCAGGUCAUAGUGAUCCGGUGGUUCUGAAUGGAAGGGCCAUCGCUCAACGGAUAAAAGGUACUCCGGGGAUAACAGGCUGAUACCGCCCAAGAGUUCAUAUCGACGGCGGUGUUUGGCACCUCGAUGUCGGCUCAUCACAUCCUGGGGCUGAAGUAGGUCCCAAGGGUAUGGCUGUUCGCCAUUUAAAGUGGUACGCGAGCUGGGUUUAGAACGUCGUGAGACAGUUCGGUCCCUAUCUGCCGUGGGCGCUGGAGAACUGAGGGGGGCUGCUCCUAGUACGAGAGGACCGGAGUGGACGCAUCACUGGUGUUCGGGUUGUCAUGCCAAUGGCACUGCCCGGUAGCUAAAUGCGGAAGAGAUAAGUGCUGAAAGCAUCUAAGCACGAAACUUGCCCCGA
rnacentral:rRNA from 1 species